AUAUAUAUAUAUAGAGGCAAAGAUAGAAACUGAAGAAAAACUUUAUUUAUGUUACUCUCCUUUGUGUUUAGUUGAUGUGUCAUUAGGCGUGUUCAUUCAUUACUAUUCUUGUAAGUUGGUGGAAAAUCAAAUUUCAAUGAGAACGAGUUAUUUGGAAUAAAAAGUUUGUUGGCACAAUAUGUGUUAUUUUAAUAGAUUAGGCAACUAUUUUGAGCAACCUUCCCUCGCUGAAUCCAAUAGUGGUCAAGUGAUUUUUCUCAUGUAUACAUAUAGUUACUUUGUUGAUCAUUUAAGAUUUUAUUUAUCUUUACACCUUUGCAGGAAUUUAAAAACCUUGUUUAUGGAAGAGAGCACAAUAGUUGAGAAAGAUGGGGAAUGGCUGCAUGAGCUUGCUCUGAACAAUAAGGUUCUUGAAAAUGUUAACUUCUACAUGACGGAUCUUACCAAAGUGCAAUCUGCAGAUCUUGAGCUAAUGGCCAGAAAUUGUCCCUCUUUGACCUCAAUGAAGAUCAGCGACUGUGAUAUAUCAGAUCUGAUUGGUUUCUUUAAAGCUGCUAAUGCACUGGAAGAGUUUGGUGGGGGGUUUUUCAGUGAGCCACCUAGACAGAUUGUCGAGGGUGUCUGUAAUGAGCAAUUAGGGAGGAAUUCUGCUGAAUCAUUUCCCCCAAGAUUAGGCUGCUUGGGUCUUACUUAUUUGGGGAAGGAAGAGAUGCCUUUUGUCUUUCCAAUUGCUGCCCGACUCAAAAAAUUGGAUCUCCUUUACGCACUGCUUGACACAGAAGGCCACUGUGUCCUACUGCAAAGAUGCCCCAACUUGGAAAUUCUUGAGGUAAAAUUUUAAAAUCUAUGUUUUAUAUUUUUCAAUAGUGAUUUGACAUCAUUUCAACCACAUUAUUCAAUAAAAUAAUAUUACACGUAAAUCUAAAAAAAUUUCUUAUUUUUUAGCCACACAUUUUUCAUUGAUUUGAUAUGAAUAAUGUAUUUUUCCUAGAAUGUGACUCAAACAAGGGUUUAGUUUUCCUUGAAAACCAAGAAAAUCAAUUCCAUGGAAAAAAUAUGCUAUCAAACAGCCAAAAGUGGAAAUUGGAAUUUAAAUUCCAUUUUCCAUGAAAAAUAAUGGCCAGUCAAACAUGACCUUAGAGAAUAUUGAUUAUGAAAUUGAGUCCCUAUUUGGCCUCCAUGUUUGAAAUGAAAAUGGGUGGAAAAUUAUUUUUUCCUGAAAAAUGAACGAUUGAAAAAGAAGAAAACAUUUUUUAUUUAUAUGUAAUAUUAUUUUAUAAAAGAUUGUGUAAUUAUAAAUAGAAUAGAAAAAGAUGUAAAAAAAAAUUAAUGGAGGUAAAACGGGACAAAAUGUCACUCAUGGACUCACCAAAAAGCAAAAAGAGGAAGAAGAUUGUAAGUCGUUUUCUUGUACGAAAACAGAGAAUAUGAAAUUUAUCUUAUUUUUGAAGGAAAAGAAAAAAACAAAACUAUUUUGUCCACUUGUACAGUUGUACUAAUGAAACCAAAGCAUAUUUCUUUAUUUUCAACGUGGAUCCCCCACUAUGACGUGCAAAAUUAAAUAGGAUAGGAAGUAGCUAAAUUUUCUUUCAUAAUUGUUGAGUUAGGAUUAGUGUGGUACUGCCCUUUAUGUAGUUGAAAAGCAAAGAAAUCGAUGAAGAACUUUUACUAAGUUUAUGUCAUAAAUUGGUUCAUUUUGUGAAUUUGUGAGUUUGAAUUUUUUAAUCAUAAGGGUCUCAUGCCAUCCUAAAAGGUUUAUCAAAUAGGAAAAUAUAAUAUUACUAAUCUAAAAUUUAGAUAAUUAUCUAUAUAUGUGGCAAAGGUCGUUAUCAUCAUUUACGGUCUAAGGCCCUAUUUGAUAACCUUCUUUUUCCAUGGAAAAUGAAAAGUAUUUUCCAUUUCCAUCCAAAAUUGUGUGUUUGAUGGCACCCAUACAUAAUUUUUUACAAGCAUAACAACAUUGAAUAUUUAAAUAAAUAGCAUACACAUAUUUAAAUGAAGAGUGCGUACAAGAGAAAUUAUGAAAAUAUUUUAAAUAUAAAAAUAAUUAGACUAAAUAGGUAUAAAAAAAAAAAUUGAGGCUCUAAGCCAUUGCCUUAAUUGCUUUGGCUCAGGGCCCGCUUUGAUUUCAUGCAUAUUUGCAAACGUUACUCGUAGUUAUAAAGUCUUCAAUUACAAAUUAAACGAAGGAAUAUUUGAAGAGGAAAAUCAAGAAAUUGAAGGGAGUCUAGAAAAACUAGUAGAACAAUAACCUGCAAUUGCCAUCGAUCAAUUUCCACUGCAUCACUCAAGGAAUUUUAAUUCCCUCUUAAAUUUAGAGGAGAUGCAACAAAAGUUAUUAGAGAAACAAGUUUCAACCGAAUAUAUUAAAGUCAGAUUGGGGAGACAUAGAUUUUGAAUCUAAUAAAAUACGAGUUGAGAUACCUAUAUUUACAUAGAUUUUUAGAAUUCAUUACAUUCAUGUUGAGGACCUCCGUAAAUAAAUUUGAUUUAUGUUUUCACCUAAUAAAAUAUGGAGUACAGAUGCCUUCAUGUACAGGAAAAAAGGUUUACUUUCAACAGAAUAGUACCUUUAAAAGUCAACUUUCCCGUUACGAAAAGGCGUAUGAUUCCCUUCUGGAGGUCAAUAAUUCCACUAUUUAAAAGAUCUCAAUCUUUUAUAUAUUCUUAUUUGAUGAAGGGAUAAAUUUGAUAUUGAAGAAUUUAUGGAAAAGAAUAGAAUUAUGGAGAUGCAAGAUGUUAUUUUGUUGGAAUUCACAUUCACCUAAUCAUGCCAAUAUUUUGAAAGAAAUCUAAUAUUUUGCAAUCACUUACAAGGAAAAAAAUACACAGGUUUCGUCUUUUUCAUUCGAGUUAUUCUCGGGUGACAACCCCCUAGACGUCCAAGGGUUGUCAAAGUGGUUUUUCCCUUUCCAUUCUCCAAUUUCAAUGUUCAUAAAGUCCAAAAUUAGAAAAUAUUGAAAAGGGAAACUGCAUUCAUGAAUCUCAUAACAAAAUUCAAAGAGUUAACAUGACUAUACCAAUUUCUAAAGUUGUAUUCACAUGAAUUUGUAUCUCAAUUGUUUGAAUUUUUGUUUCUAACUUUCCAUUGAAUCAGACUGAAUCUUAAUUAGCGAACAGUUUUAUCAAAUAAUGCGUCCAUUAAUAGAUAUUUUCAAACAAGAAAAUUUACAAAAUAUACGUUCUAUGUAUAUGGUGCAUUCACAUACCGAUCUUUCUAAAUUUAUAUUUAACACAAUGUCAAUUCCACCAUCAUGGCCCAUCAAGUGGGGGAUUGCAUUUCAUUCCAGCAGCAACAUUAUAUGGUUCAAACCGCCUUGUUUCAUCCAGCGCUCGCCACCAAAAAAAAAAAAAAAUCUAAUAAAAAGUUAUAAAUUUAUCGUUAUAAAUUGUUAAAUAUACUGAAGGAUACAUAGAAAAUAACAAAUCGCACAAUUUGUGUUAGCUUAUGUAGCACUUCACGUAUCAAAAUUAUAUAUUUUUAUUUUAUUACAUUUAUAUGAAUUAUUCUCUUAUAUUAAAUUUUCUAGAAGAAAAGAAAAACGUCGUUGCAAUAAAUGCUAAUAAAACUACGUAUGCAUCUAGGGAUGUAAACGAGUCGAGUCGAGUCGAGCAGGCUCGCGAGCCUAAAGUUUCGGCUUGGGCUCGGCCAAAAAAUAAAAAGGCUCGGCCCGAUACUUAAGUGACCGUUACUGAAAGUUUUAAACUUCAGUGAUCGUUUUGUAAUUUAUCUGUAAGUUCAGUGACCGUUUGUGAAAUUAACCCAUUUUUGUAAUCAUUAGAAAAUGUAGUAUGUAAAUUAUAAAUUUAUAAAAUACGUCAUGUAAAGUGUAAUUACACAUUAUCUACAUGUCAUAUUUUGUAAAUCUCCCUUUCAAAUAUUAGAUAUUUUAACCCUCAAAUUGCAAAAUAUUCUAGUUAAGUUUUACUCCUAUUGCAUCGAGACUAUGCUUCAAGUAAGUCAAAUUUACUUUUAUUUUUUAAUAUGAUUGAAUAUCUAUAAAGAGGAAGAAAUGUUUCUAUAUUUUGCAUAACAUUAUUAUAUUUUUUGUACAUUUACAAAAUAACAAUAUAGAGUUGUUCGUAAUCUCUAACCUAUAAAUGUAGCUAUUCCAAUUAUAAUUCCUCUAUGGGAAAGUUAUAUAAAUUUUCUUGUUUAUUAAAAGUGGUGUCUUCAACUUAAAUUUUAAUGAAUUUCAAAAAAUAUUUUAAAUUUAGGAGUUUCUAGUUGAGAUUUUAAUGAAAUUAGGUGUUCACAACUGAGAUUUUAAUAGAUUUCAAUGAAAAUAUUUAAAAUAUAGGUGUACUUAAUAACUCAUGCAUAUAUAAAGAAUUCAUUAAUAAAUAAUUUUUAAUACAUUUGGAUGGAUUUCAAACUUAAAAAUACACGUAACAAACUCUUUUAAAAUUUUACCAUUUUAUUGAGAUUUUAUGAAAAUCUAUUUAAAUUUAAGAAAUUCAUUAUAAAUUUAUAAAUAUUUUAAAACUUAUUAAAAUCUCAGUUAAGGACGUUUUGUCUCAACAAUAUUGAGCCCAUCGUUUCUAAAAAUUCAAAUUUCAUUUUUCUUACUAGUAAAUGGAACAAAGUCGCUUGUUUAUAUUUUUAGAUUAAUUUAUUUCCAUAUAAAUAAAUAUUUUACAAUUAGUUAAACUUGCAUUAAAUCAAGUAAUUAAUUCUCGAUUUCUCAAUUUAGAAUGAAGAAUAUUUGGUUAAACUUACCAUUAUAUCAGAAUGAAAACAAAAUAAUUGCAGUAUUUAUUUCAAACAUUUGUGUUAACAUAAAAUAAAUUGAACUAUAUAUCAUAGUGCAAUUAAACUAUAUUGAGACACACGGAAAUUAUAAUAAAGACAGUAAAAAUAUUUUCAUAUAAUUAAGUAUUCCAUUUGUAAUUCUUACAUAGAAAAGUUAUCUAAAUUUUCUUGUUCGUUAAAUAGAAUUAUCUCAAUAACACUGAAUACAUAGUUUCUAAAAAUUGUAUUACUUUUUUCUUACUUGUAAAUAAAAAGAAAGUCACACUUUAUAUUAAAGUAAAACUUGGUUCAAAAAUAAGAAAUUUAUUUUAAAUUUUGAUAGCUAAAAAGUUUAUUAUUAAAUUUUAUUUAUUUCAUUACAUCCUGUUUGGGAAUGAUUUUUUGGCCAAAAAAAUUGAUUUUUUAAUCAUUAUUUCACUAUUCCAGCAGUCAUAUUUGACUUCUUCUCUCACAAGUGGAUUCCACUUUUUUCCCUAACGAUCAAAAAAUCAAUUCUUAAAAUCACUCCCACACAGACUCUUAAUAAGUUCAUAUUUUACAUUUAUCUAGGGAUCGACAAAAGCAAAGGGUGAACCUCAUGGAGUGAUGUCCUUCUUUUAGAUAACGGAAGCAUUCCAUUACUACCAAUCCAAAGAAAUAUGACCUCUCUAAGAUAUACAUUAGCAGUAAAUCAAAUGAUUAAUGCCCAUUGCCUAGAAAUAACAAAAAGCAAAGGUAAAUAAUCAUUGAUGAAAUUUCAAUAGGAAUCAAUAAUACAAGAAUAAUUCCAUAGGUACAGAGAAUUAUUGAUAGAAAUGAUACAGAUGUUGCGUUAGCAAUACUUGUAUAGCCUAUUUUCUGUGUUUGUUGUGUUAAAAAUCAAUGAAAAACUGUCAAGUAUCUUUUUAUAAAAAUUCUGUUAAUUUUUUUUUUUUGGUAAUUGUAGUAAAAUUGAUAAUACAAAUAGGUUACUAAAUCAAGUGAUUAAUGCCCAUUGCGCAGAAAUAAUAAAAAGCAGAGGUUAAAUAAUCAUCGAUGGAAAUUCAAUAGAAAUCAGUAAUGCAAGAAUAAUUCCAUAGGCACAGAUAAUUAUCGAUAGAAAUGAUAUAGAUGUUGCGUUAGCAACACCUAUAUAGUGUAUUUUUCUGAGUUUGUUGUGUCAAAAGUCAAUAAAAAAUUGUCAAAUAUCUUUUGUAAGAAUUUUGUAAUUUUUAUUUUUAUUUUUAUUUAUUAUUAUUAUUAUUUUGUACAUAUAGCAAAACUGAUAAAUAUGUUACUAACAACGAUAUUGCCGAUUGUCUAAUUGGUGUUUACUCACAUUGACGUCAAUAUUGAUGUUGUCGACAAUCGUCCAUGUAAAGUUAUCAAUAUUAUCAACAAAAAUUAUCAAUUUUUAUAUUCCUUUUAUAAAUUACAAGCUAAUACAGUAAAAUAUCUUUUUAUUUUUCUUUAUAAUAUUAAUAAAGAUUAAAUUAUUUUAUUGUUCGUCCCUCUGUAUUUAAUUUUUAUAUUUUUGUUAAUUUAUUUAUUAGCAUUUUCUUUGUUGAUAAACUAAAUUUUUUGAACUAACUAUAAUUUUUUAACAUCAGUAAUUUUUUUGUGAAACUUUUUCAUAUUACAUAUUAGAGACCAAAAAAAUUUAUUAUGAUGAUUUUUUUUUUUCAAACACCUAAGUUAUAGUAAAAUUAAGUGAAAUAUAAUAAUUACAACAAAUACUUUUUCCGUCCCAUAGAGAUAUGGUUGAUAUUAUUUUUAUACAAAUUAAAUAAAAAUAUAUAAUUAAUAUAGUUUACUUUUAUUUUUCAAAUAUAUUUUUAUAUUACAUAAUUAUUUGAACUUCAUAUUUAUUGAUAAUAAUAUAUAUUAACUAUAGAUAUAUUAAAUUUUCAGAAAUUAAUUAUCUUCUUGACAAGAGAAAAACCUAUAAUUUAAAGCAAAUGAAAAAAUAAAAUAAAAUAAAAUCCUGCAAUAAGUACUGGGAAUUUCGACAAACGACACAUGUAGUGUAAUUAUUGGGAGAUGGAGUAGGGGGGGAAAAAAAUAUCAUGUACCGUCACCUCAGUUCGAUGAGUUCUGUCAAGAUUUCCCCUAGUCAUGGCUUUAUCUUCAAACAAAAAUGAGACAGAUGGAGUAAUUUCACAAGGGGAUAAAAAUAGUAACCUCUCGUCGUUUUCUGCGUUCCCUUUCAAUUUUAGAGCCCCUCACACACUCUCUCUUACGCCCGUCCCACUCUUUUUCAGGCCCAAUCCUCCUCUAUCCAUUCUUGACCUUCAGCUUCAUUAACCAACUUUUUGGUUCUCAUAUGUUGUCUAAAUUACUUGAUUUCUAGAACCCUUCCCCUAAAAGAGUAAAUAGAACAAGAUUUGGGAAUGGCAGAGCAAGAAUCGAUUAAGUUUGUUCGUUGUAGUAGCAUUAAUGGAAUUGGAAAUAGUGGAGCUGAAGACACCGUUUGGGAGCUCGUGAUCCCGUACGUGCAGGACCAUCGCGACCGAGACGCUGUAUCCCUUGUGUGCAAACGCUGGUACGAGAUCGAAGCCUCAAAUCGAAAGCAUGUGACAAUCGCGUUGUGUUACACGGCUACGCCGCAGCGGCUCUCUCGCCGGUUUACUUACCUUGAGUCGCUCAAGCUCAAGGGAAAGCCGCGAGCUGCUAUGUUCAACCUUAUCCCGGAAGACUGGGGUGGGUAUGUUGCUCCUUGGGUGGAAGAGGUCGGCAGGUCUUUUAGAAGAAUGAAGACGUUACACUUCCGUAGGAUGAUUGUGAAGGAUGCGGAUCUCGAGUUGCUUGCCAAAUCGCCGGCUGGGAAGCUUCUCGAAGUCUUGAAGCUCGAUAAGUGUUCAGGAUUUUCUACUGAUGGUCUCCUAAUUAUUGGCCGCUCGUGCAGGUAAAAAGGGGGGGACAAAAGGUGUAAGAACGAAUUUUGAUGCUUACUUUUUAAUUUUUUGAAAUUGAUAUUUGUUUGACUUCAUUAUUUGAGUUAUUUUUUUGGGUAUCUCUUGAUAAAUACAUAACUUUUCAAGAUUAUUUGUUGUGUGAUUUGUUUCUUGUUAAUUUAUUUGCUUCUAGAUUGUUGUUUGGUUGUUUAUUUAUUGAGUUAUUGCUGGGUUUGACAUUCAUGCUUAUGUGUACUUGCAUACUACUACUCUUUCUGGAAGUCCGUGUUUAAUUCUUCAACAGAGAGAUGAGAAAUUCAAGUGAUUAAUUAUUGUCUUUAGAUAACUUCCUAUUUUGUAUUUCUUGGAGGGGAUUGUUGUUUUAUAUGCAGAUAUGGUUACAUCAGGGAAUCUAACUUCAAAAAUUUUAUUUAUUUAUUUUUUUUUUUUUUGGGGGGGGGGGGGGGGAAGUUGCUUGAUUCCACUUGUCUAGUGUUAUUGAUUAUGGUUACAUACAUACGAGUUUUUUAAACUUAAUUCUUGAUAACUUUUUGGUUAAACGUAGCCUGGGGUGUGGUGGUCCUUGGAUAAAUGUUUGAUGGAUUAUUUUUGUUGCACGCAUGAACUAUAUUUUUUAUUUCUUUUAGAUUGAUUUAUCUGUUAUUUAUUUGAGAUUAUCUGGUAGAGGGUUAAAUCUGAUACAGGAAAAGGAAAUAUCGUUGGAAUCACAUUGGUGUUAGUGUUGGCUAUACUACGGCAUAAGUUUGAGAUCAUUGUUUAAACAGUAUUCAUUAUCAGCAUGCACAUUUUGGAAUGUGGUCUCAACGGAGUAACUUUGUUCUGCCUACUCCAAAAUUUGAGUUUUUGAUCUAUCCCUGUGAUUUUUAAAUGACAGGUUUUGAAGUCCGAGUCAUUUAGCAUUCAGUUCAGUUUACAAAUCUGCUCUCAUCUUGUCAUUGUUUUUGUUGUUAUAGAAUUUAGAUACUUUUUCCAAACAAUGCUAAUAUCAAGUGUUGCUCUGUUUCAAAUACCUGAAUUGUCUAUUGGUCGUCUUGCUUAAAAACCUUUGAAAUUUCUAUUUUGACAUUUUAUAUAUCAUUUCUUUUUGACCACUAGAAUUUCACAUAUGUUCUUAGAUAUUUCGUAGUAUCUUGAUUUUCUGUUUCUUGAGACCUAGAAGUUUGGUCCCUAUAUUACUUAUGCAUUAUGCAAAUUGAAUAAAAUGCAUUCGCCCAAAAUUCUAGGGAAGAGUAAUUACAAAAUACAAGGGUGAAGCACUAUUUUGUUCCUAUGUGAAACAUGGAGGACGAAUACUCUUUUGCUUUCCUUUUGUGUGUGUACUUAUCGAUGAAGAACAUAAUGGGGCUUUGGAAACUUUUUGGGUGUUCUCCAACCUGUUGAUUUUUCCAGUCUGCUCAUGUACAAAUAGUUUAAAUUUUGAUUCCCCUUGGUGAUAUAUUUUGGUUCUUAAUGAAAUAGAAAGUUUUUUGGUGAUCUAUGCAAGUCUUGAGAAGUUCUGGAUCAAUCUUCUCUUCUGUGAUGGGAAUGUUUUCUGACUGCUGAAACUUUUUCAGUGACUUGUCCCGGGAUUUUUGGAAAUGGUACAACGAUUCUGAAUAAGACAGUUCUUUCUCUCAUUUAUUCCUGCUUGAGGAUUAUGAUUUUUCGUUGCCUUCGGAAUUUUGCGCAGCAAUGUGUACAUUAUCCCAUUUUAUGUCAUAUCUUUCGCAACUCCAGAUGUAUAGGAUUUAUUAGGAAUGGUUACUUAGGGGCUGUUUGAGCCCCAUUAUUUGUAAAUUAUAAUGAGAUGAAUAGUAUUUUUUUGAAAAAUGAGUGGUUGAAAAGUUUUUGAUUUACGUGUAAUAUUAUUUUAUUGAAGAUUGUGUGGUUAAAAGUAGGAGACAGAAAAAUUUAAUUUAAUGUAAUGAGAAAUAAUGGAGCUCAAAUGGGGGCUUAAGUAAUACAUAAUUUACUGAUUGAAAAAAAAAAAUAGUAAUAAUAAUUAAAAAAAAAAAAAAAAAAUAUAUAUAUAUAUAUAUAUAUAGAGGCAAAGAUAGAAACUGAAGAAAAACUUUAUUUAUGUUACUCUCCUUUGUGUUUAGUUGAUGUGUCAUUAGGCGUGUUCAUUCAUUACUAUUCUUGUAAGUUGGUGGAAAAUCAAAUUUCAAUGAGAGCGAGUUAUUUGGAAUAAAAAGUUUGUUGGCACAAUAUGUGUUAUUUUAAUAGAUUGGGCAACUAUUUUGAGCAACCUUCCCUCGCUGAAUCCAAUAGCGGUCAAGUGAUUUUUCUUAUGUAUACAUAUAGUUACUUUGUUGAUCAUUUAAGAUUUUAUUUAUCUUUACACCUUUGCAGGA
rnacentral:lncRNA from 1 species